GCUUGAGGAGGAAGAAGCGUGUCUCUAGCAGGCGGAGAGCCCUGUGGCGCCAUGAACAGAGCAGUGCUGGCGGGGACCGAGGGAACUCGCAGCUGGCUGCUAGGACGGACGUGCUGCGACCCUGAGCUGUCAAGCCACUCAGGAUCCUCCCCCGGCCCCAAUUGCCUCCAGCUGACCACUGUUGUGCACAGUGAUGGAGCACAAGUAAGUGUAGAAAAUAAGUCCAUGGAUCACAACCACAGCUAGAAGGAGCUGUUGUACGAAUUUAGCAUAAUCCUGCUUUGUGCGACCAAUGAC